rnacentral:rRNA from 1 species
AUUGAACGCUGGCGGCGUGCCUAACACAUGCAAGUCGAGCGGCAGCGCGGGAGCAAUCCUGGCGGCGAGCGGCGGACGGGUGAGUAACGCUUGGGAAUCUGCCUAUCAGUGGGGGACAACCCGGGGAAACUCGGGCUAAUACCGCAUACGAUCUAAGGAUGAAAGCCGGGGACCGCAAGGCCUGGCGCUGAUAGAUGAGC